rnacentral:rRNA from 1 species
AUACGGAGGGUGCAAGCGUUAUCCGGAUUUACUGGGUUUAAAGGGUGCGUAGGUGGGCAGGUAAGUCAGCGGUGAAAUCUCCGAGCUUAACUCGGAAACUGCCAUUGAUACUAUCUGUCUUGAAUAUCCUGGAGGUGAGCGGAAUAUGUCAUGUAGCGGUGAAAUGCUUAGAUAUGACAUAGAACACCAAUUGCGAAGGCAGCUCACUACGGGGUUAUUGACACUGAGGCACGAAAGCGUGGGGAUCAAACAGGAUUAGAUACCCUGGUAGUCCACGCCCUAAACGAUGGAUACUCGACAUACGCGAUACACUGUGUGUGUCUGAGCGAAAGCAUUAAGUAUCCCACCUGGGAAGUACGAUCGCAAGAUUGAA